GCUGAGAGAGAUGACAUGGCAGCCUGCACGAAGUCUAUAACUAAGCAAGUAGCUGCAUUAUCCAAUGAAGAGAGGAAUCUCUUCCCAGUUGCUUAUAAAAAUGUUGUAGGAGCCCGUAGGUCAUCUUGGAGGGUCGUCUCAAGUAUUGAACAAAAGACAGAAAGUUCUGAGAAAAAAACAGCAGAUGGCUUGAGAAUACAGAGAGAAAAUUGGAAAGGAACUAAGAGAUACCUGCAAUGAUGUACUGUCUCUUUUGGAAAAGUUCUUGAUACCCAAUGCUUCACAAGCAGAGAGCAAAGUCUUCUAUUUGAAAAUGGAAGGAGAAUACCACUAUUACUUGGCUGAGGUUGCCGCUGGUGAAGACAAGAAAGGGAUUGUGGAUGAGUCACAACAAGCAUACCAAGAAGCUUUUGAAAUCAGCAAAAAGCAAAUGCAAUCAACAAAUCCUAUCAGACUGGGUCUGGCCCUUAACUUCUCUAGUUCUAUUUUGAGAUUCUGAACUCCCCAGAGAAAGCCUGCUCUCUUGCAAAGACAGCUUUUGAUGAAGCUAUUGCUGAACUUGAUACAUUAAGUGAGGAGUCAUACAAAGACAGCACGCUAAUAAUGCAAUUACUGAGAGACAACUUGACAUUGUGGACAUCGGAUACCCAAGGAGAGGAAGCUGAAGCAGGAGAAGGAGGGGGAAAUUAACUGGUCUUCAAACUUUUAUCUGCCUCAUUCUAAAAUUUACACAGACCAUUUGUCAUCCAUGCUGUCCCACAAAUAGUAUUUUAUUUACAAUUUAUGACAGGUUUAUGUUACUUCUAUUUGAAUUUCUAUAUUUCCCAUGUGGUUUUUAUGUUUAAUAUUAGGGGAGUAGAGCCAGUUAACAUUUAGGGAGUUACCUGUUCUCAUCUUGAGGUGGCCAAUAUGGAAUUUUUAUAUAAGUUAUAAAUGUUUGGCAUAGUACUUUUGGUAUACUGUGGCUUCACAAGGGCCAGUGUUAAAACUGCUUCCAUGUCUAAGCAAAGAAAACUGCCUACAUAAUGUUUUGUGCUGGUGGGGAAUAAAAGGGAUCAUUGGUUCCAGUCACAGGUGUAGUAAUUGUGAGUAUUUUAAAGUUUGGAGCACUUACAAGGCUGUGGUAGAAACAGAUAUCCCAUGGAUACCACAUGUUAAACCAUGUAUGUCUGUGGAAUACUCAAUGUCAGUGUGCACACAUUUGACUACAGCUGCAGAAGUGUUCCUUUAGACAAAGUUGUGACCCAUUUUACUCUGGAUAAGGGCAGAAAUAAUUCACAUUCCAAGUUACCUGCUGUUAGCUUUCAUUAUUUUUGCUGCACUCAUUUUAUUUGUAUUUAGAUGUUUUAGGCAACCUAAAAAC